rnacentral:lncRNA from 1 species
UUUACACGCCCCAGCCGGCGACCGGUUCCAUCUGGCUCGGGCCACUCUGACACCUUUAGUUUCGGCAAGGGAUAUUGGGGUGGCGAAGGGGAGGCGGGGGCCCGAAGGCUUCGGAAAACGAUGGGGGAGGGGGCAGAGGAUACCCGUCGAAGCCCCCCCCUCCCCCAACAUUUCGAUAUUGGAAUCACUUUCCUUCUUCCUCGGGCCAGCCUUUGCUCUGUCCCCUCAGGUCAACUCAAGGUAGACAGUGUGGCGACUGGAGAGGUCGGGGAACAAGCUUUGUUUCAGCUAAGGGGAAAACAAGCGUUCACAGGAGUCCCCUGACACCUCCCACUCGGAAGAUAGCUAACGGGGGUCCUGCCAACCCUUCCCAUCCAACUUCCAUCUGAAAAGGAUUUUCUGCUAAAGUUGGGUCCAUGGCCAUCCAGCACCUGUAAGGCCGGCAGGAGCGUCUGCCCUCUACUCAGUUAAAGCCUGAAGUCGUUUCCUUUCGAUGGCCCUUAGGAGGCCCAAAAGAGGGGCGACAGAACAUGAUGUUGACACGGGCUGGGCGCCCCCAGAAGCCCGGGAACAAACGUUUCUACUUUCCAGGUCCACUGGUGUUUGGUGUACCCAUGUGACUAAUUUGUCCAAAGAGAGGAUUAAAGUCCACUCCUUUUCUUUUGGGGAAGGCAGAAAUUGGAGCAGAAAAAUGAAUACUAAAAUCAAGACUAAAUUAAAAAAAAUUAAAAAUCAGACUGAAACCAGAGGCAUCAAUGUUUAAAAGACACACAAAAAAGGAAGUGGUGUGGGACUUAUCUCAUUCGAGGAGAAGUAGAAAUUCUUCAGAAGGGAAUUGGAGCUUCUGGACCAGGGAGG